UUAAGAUGAAAUACUACUUUCAUAAGGAAAUACUCCAUGUCUUGUGAUUUAUACACACAGGAUGGAAUUGUGAUUUGGGAAUUUAGAGGAACACUCAAAUUAUCUGGAAACAGUAUUUUCUUACCUGUUUUGCCUAUGGCUUAGGUUCAUCAAAUAUUUUAUUUUACCCGGAAUUGUGAAUUAAAGAACUCCAUAAGUGCUGCUAAUACACUGCGAGAGUUGGUAGAACCUCUCCAUGCCAAAUCGGAUCCACUUCUGUUGGCACUCAACCCAUUGGACUCACAGAUUGAUAAGCUAAUGUUUAGAGAAUUUAGAUCGGAGAGAGUCGGUACGGCGCAGACUCAACAUCAACCUCUUGCAAGCAACUAAAAUGGCCUCGUCCUUGCUGUUUAUAACAGAAAACAGACUUGUAAAAAGCUUAGAUCAUCAAGUGUUUUGGAUUGGGGGCCUCCCAAAGGGAUAUAAGAGGGGCAGGCCACUCUUAAGAAGAAUGCGAGCUUUCUACAUUGGGACUAGCAUAAGAUCAAAGCCAAUCAAGAUGGAGCACAGUAACAGAAAACUGCGGUUUCUGUGGGAGAACAGAAGGGGAAAGGGUCUUAACUGGGAAAGGGCUCUGUGUGGUAACACCUCAGUUGUGUUCUCCUGACACCAGGAAAAGAGAGGGAUCAGCUUCAAUAACUAGAAAAUUCUGGCUGUUUAAUGGACUCUUUGGUGGCCUCUUUAAGGCAAAGCAGAGAAAGCAAAUUAUGUAUUAAGUGUAUUUUGCAUUUUUAAAACUUGACGUGCUGUAUUGUACUAAAUUAAGUGUAAUCUAUUAAGGCAAGGUAUACACAAUUUGCUUUGAAACUUACUAUGUUUAUUCUAUUAUAAAGUGUAUUCAGGUGCAACACAGAGACUGCUUUCGGUGACAUUAAUGAAGAAAAUUUCUCAUGCCAGGCUUUAUUAUAGAAUCUUCAGCUAAAAUCCUAACUUUCUCCUUAUUUCUUGGCACUUGUAUACAAGUGGUGUUGCCUCUUAGGGCAGGCAUGAGCUAUUCUUUUCUGUAAAAUAUUUUGAAUCUAUAGGCUGUGGGUUUCAUUUUUGAAAAGUAUUUUGUCUGGAUGUCUUUCAAACUAGCUUCAGAUAUUAUUUAAUACUAUGUAACUGGGUCCCCUAUGGCUCAAUCAAUAUUGCUUAUUUUUCUUCUGUAGUGGAUGUGAAAUUUCCUUUAGUUGGAUAAGAUACACUGUAAUAAUUUUAAUGCUAAUUAAUGAUAUUUCAUACUGUGCAAUGAACAGAUAAUUUAACACUGUAUUUUGAAAUGUUUUUUUCUUCCUGUCACCGCAGUGUGUGGUAUUGCAUAAUGUGAAUACCUGUAAAAAUAUAAAUUACUUAAAAAUAAAAAUAUGACCAAUUGGUAUCAGAUCUUUUCAGAUAGCUAAAUAAUUUGCUAAGUAUGCCUGAUAGUAAAUAUCUUUCUAAAAAGAAGUAAUCAGUGCUUCUUUCUCACAAAUGGAAUUUGUGUCUGUGAAUAAAAUCACAUUGAUCUGCC
rnacentral:lncRNA from 1 species